AGCGAACGCUGGCGGCAGGCCUAACACAUGCAAGUCGAACGAACCUUUCGGGGUUAGUGGCGGACGGGUGAGUAACACGUGGGAACGUGCCUUUAGAUUCGGAAUAACUCAGGGAAACUUGUGCUAAUACCGAAUGUGCCCUUCGGGGGAAAGAUUAAUCGCCUUUAGAGCGGCCCGCGUCUGAUUAGCUAGUUGGUUGAGGUAAUGGCUCACCAAGGCGACGAUCAGUAGCUGGUCUGAGAGGAUGAUCAGCCACAUUGGGACUGAGACACGGCCCAAACUCCUACGGGAGGCAGCAGUGGGGAAUCUUGCGCAAUGGGCGAAAGCCUGACGCAGCCAUGCCGCGUGAAUGAUGAAGGUCUUAGGAUUGUAAAAUUCUUUCACCGGGGACGAUAAUGACGGUACCCGGAGAAGAAGCCCCGGCUAACUUCGUG
rnacentral:rRNA from 1 species